AAUAGAUGAUGCCAAUAACUUUUGAACACAGGUUUGACCAUUUGUCUUGUUCAAAAUAUUUACCUAAUUACCAUUUAUUUUAUUAUGAGUUGUUUUAUUACUAAAAGUACUUUAAGCAUAACUUAUAUCUUAUGCAUUUGCACAAAAUUUUUGAAUAAGACAAUGAUCAAACGUGUGUCCAAAAAUCAACGACGUCAUCUAUU
rfam:Oryza glaberrima chromosome 7 Oglab07_0011_1, whole genome shotgun sequence.